UUAUUUAUGGCAAAAUAUGAAAUCCCCAUUGAUUAAUGUUAGUUUAAAUUCUUAAGCCCAAUUGUCCAAACACAUGGCCCGUCCCUAACCUACUUUGAUUAAAUCCAAACAAAUUUAACUCUAAACAAAAACUUGUCCAAAAAAAUUAGAAGAGGAAGAAGAGUGAGAAUGAAACCCUAGAUCUACUCGCCGCCACCGUAUUCAUCUCUUCGCCAUUGUCACCAUCAAUCUCGCCGUAGCAUUUGAGAUCAGAGGGAGAGUAACUGGCGACGCCCGCGACGCCAUCCUUGCCGACAUCCAGGAGCAGGUUUCCAUCCUCAACUCCACUUUCUCAUGGAAGGAGUCAGAUCGAGCCGCCGCCAAGUGCGCCACUCACGUGCUCGUCGAUCUUGCCAAAAACGAAGAAGUGGUGAACGUGAUUGUUGAAGGUGGAGCAAUUCCAGCUUUGGUUUAGCACCUCCAAGCUCCUCCCGUGACAGAAGAAGACCUCGUUCAGAAGCUGUUGCCGUUUAAGCAUGAGGUUGAGAAAGGGAGUACUUUUGCACUUGGACUUCUUGCCGUCAAGAGUGAUUCCUAAAGCUCUGUUGCAUUGUGAGGUACAAUUCCAUCUUUAGUUACUAUAUGAUCAUGUAUGUGAAUCUUUUGAUCCGAAUUUUUGCUUAUGAAAAGCUUAUGCUGAUCAAAUCCCUCGUUUAGAUAUCUGGAGAAACCUUUGGAAAAGUAAAAACAGUUGUGCAAACAUGCAUGAAAGGAAGUCAAUAAUGGCUAAACACGCUGAUGCAUUCAUAACUCUUCCUGGUGCAGGAUGUUCCAAGACAUGACGUAAAUCAUGUCCAUGAAGAAGAAUAAGUUUAGAAGUAUGUUUUAACAUCCUCAUCAUCCCUUAAUGCAUGUAUAUCUCCAAAUACUUGGUGUGGGGUUGAGAACAAAUUUGAAACGUCUCAAACACCCUAUGUACGAGAGGCUAGUUUUUGAUGCUGUUAGUUAUUUAAUAUCUAAAGAUAGAGAUGAUGACGUGGCUUAUGAAUUACAUGCUAAAGUGAGUUCACCUUCAUAUAUAGUUUUCCCUUAAUUCAUUGUUCUUUUUCUAUAUCUAUGCUUAUUUAUCUAUAACAGUUAUGUUCUACUUAAUAACUGAGCUUUUAUUCUCGAGUUUGAGGACUAGUUGUUACUCAUGCUUGGAAAAUUCAAUAUUAAAUUUUGACUUAUUUUAUUUGGUAUGCUACAGCCCUACUGCAUAUUCCUGCACUAUGAGUGUUUAAUAGAAAUACCAAUACACCAAUUGACGGGAUUUGAAUGAUCUGCUAACAUAAAAUAUAUACAUGCAUUUGCUUAGGUUUCUUCUAUUUCUGGAAUUAAAGUGGGUACUGAUUUUUUUCUCGCCAGUUUUUUGCUAUUGCUUUUGAAUAAGUGCUUGUUGAGGUAAGAUAAUAAUCAUAUCCUGUUUUAUUGUAAAUAUGUUAGAAGUCUAUUAUAACUUUGUAGUUUAUUCCCUGUUCUGAAAAGAAAAUGAGUGUGAACAGAAAGGGAAAAAGCAAAGAAAAUGUCCCUAUUCUGUUGUGAAUUUUUCAUUCUCUUAAUCUAUACUGCUUUCACCCUUUUUCUGGCACCAUUUUGUUUCAACCUCUUUUCUAGUUCCAACCUAAUUUCUGAAAACUUUAAAUUAUUUAGUAUAAAAUUUCUCCUGUAUCUUGAUUCCUUUAUAACAUUGGAUACGGGUUAGCCAUAAUGUUAUGUAUUUGAUAUCAUGAAAUGAAUAGAGUAAUUGGUUAUUGAUUUUGUUUUCAUGGUUAUUUGAAGUUAGGGUUGCAAACAUUGAAAAUGCUUGCAUAAUUGUGUAGGUAUGAGUUCCAAGGUUUACCAGAUGCAUUCUCUCCUUCAGUUCCAAGGUCUUUUGGGAUUGCAUUCAUAUUUUCAUUUUGAGAUUUUUAUGUAAUUAAAAUUUAGAUGAUAUUGAAAUAUUGAAAUUGUUGUUUUAUUUUACUUUUUAAAGAAAAACAGUAAUAGUUAUGUAGAAUAAUACCAUAUGCAAUUAUGUUUGGAACUAUUGAUGUUGGGAAUUUUUUAUA